UACGAAGGGUGCAAACGUUGCUCGGAAUUAUUGGGCGUAAAGCGCACGUAGGCGGCUCUAAAAGUCCCAUGUGAAAGCCCACGGCUUAACCGUGGAAGUGCAUGGGAAACUGUAGAGCUUGAGUACCAAAGAGGAUCGCGGAAUUCCCGGUGUAGAGGUGAAAUUCGUAGAUAUCGGUAGGAACACCAGUGGCGAAGGCGGCGAUCUGGGUGGUUACUGACGCUGAGGUGCGAAAGCGUGGGGAGCAAACAGG
rnacentral:rRNA from 1 species